AUUUAAAUAGUUUAACAUUGAUUAGAAUUGUAAUUUGUGGUAUUAUAGGUGUAAUAUUGAUUUACUUUAAGUC
rnacentral:tRNA from 1 species